AUGAUGUCAGAAGCAGGAUACAAAGUGGAGCUUCUAGUGACCCCCAGGAGUGCUGAGUAAACAUGCAAGGUACCUGCAGGACCCACUUGUGUCCAUUGAUCUCUCAGAGCAGCUGGGGAUUGUGGGUAAAGACCUUCACAAUCGGGAACCCGUAGAUUGGAUCUUCUGAAAACAUCAGAGAAAGACUAUCUUUGCCAUCCACACUACGGUAAAACUUUGGAGCCUUGAACCUUGGAUUUAUAAUCUCACAACUGAGAAGGGUCCCUCCAUACUCCUGGAACUGUACACCCAUUGGAACCCUUAAGAAUACUUGAAACUGGCUAAUU